rnacentral:lncRNA from 1 species
ACAUAUAAGGAUAUUUUUAUCUUUGAUAUAAUUAUAUAAUUUGAUAAAUUAAUAUCAGAGUGUGCAACAAAGCAUGGUGGAUUAAAUUGAUUAGAAAUAUUAAUCUUUUAAAUCAAAAGAUAUUAGAUGAAAUACAUUAGUUGCAAAUAAGGAAUGAUUUUAUUGAUAAUGAAAGGAUGCUACAGAUUUUGAUCUAAUCCGAUCAU